AGAGCGGGAGCCCGGAGAUGGGCACUGAGAUAAGGGCCCAGGCCCUACGGGGCGCAGCAGUUGCGAAAACUCCGCAAUGCACGAAAGUGUGACGGGGCUACCCCGAGUGCCGUCCGCUGAGGGCGGCUUUUCCCUGGUGCAAGGAGCCGGGGGAAUAAGGAGAGGGCAAGUCUGGUGUCAGCCGCCGCGGUAAUACCAGCUCUCCGAGUGGUAGGGAUGAUUAUUGGGCUUAAAGCGUCCGUAGCCGGCCUGGCAAGUCUUCCGUUAAAUCCGCCGAUUCAAUCGUUGGACUGCGGGAGAUACUGUUGGGCUAGGGGGCGGGAGAGGCCGACGGUACUCUCGGGGUAGGGGUAAAAUCCUAUAAUCCCAGGAAGACCACCAGUGGCGAAGGCGGUCGGCU
rnacentral:rRNA from 1 species